AACAAUGUGGCGUAGCGGAAGCAUGGUGGGCCCAUAACCCAUAGGUCCCAGCCAGGAUCAAAACCUGACUCUGAUA
rnacentral:tRNA from 15 species